rnacentral:misc_RNA from 1 species
GAUGAAGAACGUAGCGAAAUGCGAUAUGUAAUGUGAAUUGCAGAAUUCAGUGAAUCAUCGAAUCUUUGAACGCACCUUGCGCCUUUUGGUAUUCCGAAAGGCACACCUGUUUGAGCGUCAUGAAUACCUCAAUCUCCAUCUUUUCUUCGGAUUGAUGGGUGACUUGGAUGUUGAGCCCUGCUGGUAUGCUAUAUCAGCUGGCUUUAAACUUAUUAGCCGGCUCUGUACUGGAUCGGUUUGACUCGACGUGAUAAUAUUAUCGUUGAGGAUGCAUGUCUCAUGCAGCCGGAAAGUAUCAAAGCAGCUUCUAGCUUGCCUUUAGUGCACUUUUACAUUUUAGACCUCAGAUCAGGUGGGACUACCCGCUGAACUUAAGCAUAUCAAUAAGCGGAGGA